AGGGAAAAAUGGAGCCAUGAAAGAUUUAUGGCCACUGUUAUUACAGGGCUCUGUUGAAACAGGAAGAGGCUAGCAAGAGAGGAGCGGCAUGAUGUGAUGGCCUUCUGGGGACCCAGAGGGUUCCAGCAACUCAUCACCUCUGCUGCUGCUGUGGAUGUGGUUAUAAACAGCCACAGGCUCAACAUUUUGUCUUUUCUGUCUGCCUUUAAUAAGUCAAAAAGACUGGCAUAGCAAGGGCUAUACACUUUACACACACAUAGCACACACACUUAUAUAAUACACACUUACACGUGCACUCAGUUACACACACACACCCACACACUUAUACAAUUACACUUACACACUCAGUUAUACACAUGAUGAGGACGUAUGUGCACACACACACACACAUACACACACACGGUAAUGACAAAGUAGAGCUAGCUCUCAGUUAGCGACCCUGAGCCAUUUCCAUUUUGUUACAUACGCCUUCCAUGCCAGGCAGACCCCUUAGGAAGGCUCUGACAGGACAGGGGCAGAGGUGGCUAGACAGAGGUGAGCUCCUUCAGGAGCUUCGUGGACACCGCCCAGCAAAUCUACCAACAGAAUAAGAGUCCUGGGGACGGAGUACCAUGGAGGACCACAGUGGUCUAACCCCCAGAAAGAACAGACAGGGCCGGGAACUCAGAGAAGCAGAUGCACCCCCCAAGGCUCUUUUUCAGGGGCAGAGAAGGGGACCUGAGGGGCAGAUCCCCUGUAAGUGGCUGGGGCUGGAGGCUGCUGAUACACAAUGCCUAGGACCAAGAGGCCCAGAAGACAAAGCCAGAAGCCACCCAUGAGCCACAGGGCAAGCCAAGGUAGCUAAAGGCUAACACUGAGUUCUAGGCUAGAGGGAGGUCAAUACAGCUUGCUAUGGAUCAUUUGGUCCUAGGUGUGUGAGAGGAUGCCUGAAUGGUGUGCCACCAUUAGGGGUGGCCCCGGAACCGUCCAUGAUUUCUAUGCCUCCUUAGAUUCACUGGGAUGAAACAGACCACAGGUCUGUGAGACACCACAAUGCUCACUUUGAACAUCCAUUCAGACACUCUGAGAAUGCACUCGGCCAGUACCGACGCUGACAGGCUUGUGCUUCGGAUACUGAGCCAUACAUACAGCUGCAAGGAGUUGCUCAAAUGUUACCAACUCAUUUGUCAUGCAAACAGUGCUUUGGAAGAAAUAAAAUACUAUUAUGUGGUAUAUGUGUUAGGCAAUCACUAUAUCAAAUCCGUGGCACUCCGCGAAAACACAGGCAGAGAAAAGGAAAACAACACUUGGUGAGAGAAAUCACACCACAUGGGAGCAGCUAAGUCAGGGAGAAGGGGAGGCAAACGACAGAAGCCCAGCGGAGCUGAGGCUGUAAUUUUCCCAGCUGUGUGGCCGGCACUGAAUACUCCUGGGGUUUAACAAGCGACAGAGCGAUGAAACUCUGACAGAGGAGCACGGCCCAGGGUCUCAGGGAAGGCAGGGAGGGUGGCAGGUAGAGCUGCAGGGAGAUCUCGAGGGCUGGGAAGCUGGAGCUGCAAUAUUGCCAGGAAAAGGGAGGUGAUGGGUGAAGGAUGUGGAAGGAACAGCAAGGGGAGAGGGUGAGGCCAUGAACUGUGUUUGUUAGAUGGUGGGGGGACGGGUAAGGGUAACCACAUCACUGCCCCCACCCCCUCAAGGCUCCCAACUCCAACACUGCACAGAUUUGUCUAAGGGAGGAGUGCGCUCCAGGCCCUGUCCUGAAGGUCUCUUCUAAUCCUUAUAGCAGCCCUCUAGGGAGUUAUGGGAAGCUGGCUAGAAAUGUUAAUUGGAAAUUACCACACACUAAAUGGUUGCAGAUUGGAGAUCAAACUGCAAGACUCUGCAGAUCAUCCCCUAAACCGUAAGACACGGGUCUCCCGAUCCCAUCACCCAAGAGAAUUCCAACAUUUACGGGAACCUAGGGCAUAGGUAUUUGCCCCUAAGAGUUCAGAGUAUAGGGAUCCACCUAUGAGGACAUUUUGGGUCACCCGUGGCCACAGAGGAUCAAUCUGUCUCAGAGUUGCACCUUAAAAAAAUAUAUUUAUUUUAUGUGCGAGUGUUUUACCCACUUGUAUGUGCACCAGGUUCAUACCAUGCCAGCAGAGACCGGAAGAGAAAGAUACCAGAUCUUCUGGAAUUGGAAUUGUCCAUGACGUGACCAGCCACUGAUGUCCAAACCCUAGCUCCUCUGUAAGUGUUGUUACGCCCAGAGUCUUCUAUCUCUCCAGUCCCAAGGGUGCACACUCCUGAAGUUUCAGUGUCGACCAAGUGCAUGCCUGAAGCUGGCCUGAAGCAGCAGUCAAGAUAAGGUCUUGGAGAGCAUGCCGGGCGGUUACUCCACCACCCAAAUCCGACACACAGCCUCGACGCCCAUCCGGAGACUGGCAAGUGGGCCGGAUCUCUAUUAAUGGCGGUGGUUUUCUUACACCAUUGAGCUCAUCCAUUAAGUAAAUCAACAUUCCAUUGAACGUUUACCACGUGCUAACGCUGCGUUAGGAUAAACACUGCUAGGUCUGACAGAUAAAGAUAAGCUAGAGGGCGGGGGGAAGAGAUGAAAGCACCUGCACACACAAGUAAAACAAAACAAAACAGUAACCAAACCAACCCUUUGACCUCACCAACAUGGCGGCGCCAGGCCGACACAGACGCCUUUCAUCAUGGCGGACAUAGCCUCCAUGCGCCGCCCUUCCCAAUAUGGCGUCCGUGGUCGCCCUUCCCAUCAUGGCGCGCGGCCCCGCCCGCUCCGCCGCGGCUGCCGGCGGGAGCAGUUCCGGGUGCGGUGCGCGCCGGGGGCGGGCGAGGGGGCGGUGUCCUGGCCAUGGCCGGCCUGUCGGACCUGGAGUUGCGGCGAGAGCUGCAGGCCCUGGGCUUCCAGCCAGGCCCCAUCACCGACACCACGCGGAACGUCUACCGCAACAAGCUGCGCCGCCUGCGGGGCGAGGCCCGGCUGCGCGACGACGAGCGGCUGCGGGAGGACGCCGGGCCGCGGGAGGACGCCGGGCCGCGGGGCCCCGAGCGGCAGCGGGAGGAGGCCCGGCUACGCGAGGAAGCGCCGCUGCGCGCGCGGCCCGCCGCCAGCGUCCUGCGCUCGGAGCCCUGGCCGCUGUCGCCUUCCCCGCCGGCGCCUAGCGCGGCCUCCGACGCCUCGGGGCCGUACGGCAACUUCGGGGCCUCCGCCUCUCCCUGGGCCGCGAGCCGCGGCCUCUCCUACCCGCCCCACGCCGGGCCCGGGCCGCUGCGACGCCGCGCCUCGGUCCGGGGCAGCUCGGAGGAUGACGAGGAUACACGAACGCCGGACAGGCACGCCCCGGGCCGGGGCCGCCACUGGUGGGCCCCGCCGUCGGCCUCUGCGCGGCCGCACUCGGCGCUCCUCGGCGCCGACGCUCGCCCCGGCCUGAAGGGCUCGCGCACCGGCUCGGCGGGCGCCGGGCGGACCCGACCCGAGGUGGGCCGGUGGCUGGAGCGCUGCCUGUCUCGGCUCCUGCUCUGGGCCAGCCUGGGGCUGCUGCUCGGCUUCUUGGCCAUCCUGUGGGUGAAGAUGGGCAAGCCCUCGGCGCCGCAGGAGGCGGAGGACAACAUGAAAUUGUUGCCGGUCGACUGUGAGAGAAAAACAGAUGAGUUCUGCCAGGCCAAGCAGAAGGCGGCCCUGUUGGAGCUGCUGCACGAACUGUACAACUUCCUGGCCAUCCAGGCAGGUAAUUUUGAAUGUGGCAACCCGGAGAAGCUGAAGAGCAAGUGCAUCCCAGUCCUGGAGGCGCAGGAGUACAUAGCUAAUGUGACCAGCAGUCCCUCUUCGAGGUUUAAGGCUGCGCUGACCUGGAUCCUGAGCAGCAACAAGGACGUGGGCAUCUGGCUGAAAGGGGAAGACCCAUCUGAGCUGGCGACUACAGUGGACAAAGUGGUCUGCCUGGAGUCCGCCCGGCCCCGGAUGGGCAUAGGCUGCCGCCUCAGCCGCGCCCUGCUCACCGCUGUCACCCACGUGCUCAUCUUCUUCUGGUUAGGGAUGGUGUUCCUUGUGUUCCAGGCCUGGCCUUCCUGUGGGGGCUGCUGAUCCUCCUGAAGUACCGCUGGCGGAAGCUGGAGGAGGAGGAGCAGGCCAUGUAUGAGAUGGUGAAGAAGAUCAUAGAUGUGGUUCAGGACCACUAUGUGGACUGGGAACAGGACAUGGAGCGCUACCCCUACGUGGGCAUCCUCCACGUGCGGGACAGUCUAAUCCCCCCACAGAGCCGGCGGCGCAUGAAGCGAGUAUGGGACCGUGCUGUGGAAUUCCUGGCUUCCAAUGAAUCUCGGAUCCAGACUGAGUCCCACCGAGUGGCCGGGGAGGACAUGCUGGUGUGGAGAUGGACUAAGCCUUCCUCUUUCUCUGAUUCAGAGCGAUAGGGCAGGGCCUGUUACCGCCAGCCUGACCCAGCCACCCAGCUGGGGCAAGGACACAGACCUUUGGUGCUCAUUCACACCUGCCUUGAUUGCCCUCCGGGUCUCAGGUCUGGAACAUGUGGGCUUACUUAGGGUAGCCGGGAGAACAGGGGAGCCCUUCCUCUAUGUCAGUAUUACUGACUGACAGGGGAGAGUGGCUUGUUCUCCCUGGAUAAAAAGAUGGGCAGUGGUUGGAACCCUGGAGGUCCUGCACACAGCUAGACAGCACGGUGAUCCUGAAGCCCCUCGCUUGGAAGGUGGGUUGGGUGGUGGGGCAAAGCUUGGUCCAUGUGCCUUUUCGCUUCCAGGGAGCUUAAGGGGAGGGGAGGAACCCAGCCCACUCCUGCAUGGGCCUCUGUCCAGAAGGGGACGAUGUUAUAGAAGGUAGGAGCAGCUGGAGGGGACCAAGCAGAGGUGGCUGGGGUCUGGAAGGCGUGGGGAGUCCAGCCACAGCUGCCUGUGCCUCAGAGCUGCUCACAGGUCAGCAGUGCCACCUGAGCCAGGGUGGAGCUCAGCCUCCUCACCUACUUACUGUGCACAGGCUUCCUGGCUGCUUAGCCACACAGGUAGGGUGCAGCAUCGUGGCUGCACACUGCCCUCUGCAGGCCACAUGGAGUAGUGUGGGCCAUUAGCCCUCGGCUAUGGAGGACCUGCUCUAAAUACACCCAGUGGGGGGCCUCAUUAGCUGAGAGGGAGGCUUUCGAGCAACUCUUCAGGCGGGUCUCACCUACAGCAGCAGGAGGACAGCCCCUGGAGGUGACGUGCAGCUGCCUCCAGAAGACACAAGACACCCCCUUUUGGACCUAUUGCUGGUCUCUGUUUCUUAAUAAAGUGUGGUCUCCAUGUAGCAGUAUGCUCAUUUCGGUCUCCGUGUAGCAGUAUGCUCAUUGCCGUGUGUCUGGGUGGUCAGCAGGACCGGGACUGAGCAGGCCCCAGCCAGAAGACAAUGGCUUUUGUAUUGGGGGUGGAACUGUUGGAAAAAUAAAAUAUUUAUUGAGAACGGA